UGGACGCCUCGACUGCUAUUUCUACUCUAAGUGCUUAUCUUAAUAGCGCCAGAGCCUUUCGGGAUAGAUUAGACUGCAUCUUGCUGAAACUGAAAGAGUUAUUUCGAACAGGAGAUGUUUGCACUGACCUAAACACAUCCCAUGGAGAGGAGCAACAGUAAAGGUUCCUUGACUUUUCCAAGACUGUCAAGAAAUCAAGUCUCUCCAGAUCUUGAUUUCAUCCAGGAGAAGGCUGACUUCAAAAAAGUUCAGAAAGACACAAAUGAUAACUUCAUCACCCUAGCGAAUGGG
rnacentral:sRNA from 1 species